ensembl:Mt_tRNA
GAAGUAUUAGUAAAACAAUUACAUAACUUUGUCGAAGUUAAAUUAUAGGCUUGAAUCCUAUAUGCUUCA